GGAGGAACUGUAGCUCAGGGGUAGAGCAUCAGCUUGGCAUGCAGAACAUCCCAGGUUCGAUCCUGGGCAUCUCCA
rnacentral:tRNA from 1 species